ensembl:lncRNA
GCUGGGAUAUUCAUCACCUCAAACAUGUAUCAUUUUUUUAUGUUGGGGACAUUUCAAAUACACUCUUAUUAUUUGGAAAUAUACAAUAAAUAAUCAUUAACUAUAGUCACCCUAUUGUGCUACUGAACACUAGAACUUAUUCCUCUAACUAACUAAAUGUUUGUACCCACCAACAAGCUAUUCUUAGCAUCCAUUGUAGUGGACUAUUUUCUUCUGCUUGUGGCAGAUGGACAAAGUAGCCUCAUCAGAACAAAACAAACAAAACAAGUGCUGUGUGUAAGAGAAAUGUGGGUGAAUGCCAGGAUGAGAAACAGUGUAAAAGGGAAGAGAGCAGAGAGCACCAUUUAAUUCACAGAAGCAUCUCUUUACAGAGCUGCAAAGAUCCCACAGUUUUGGUUAUUAAACCAAAUUGGCUACUGCCCAAUUUGUUGAUUUGGGGAUUAUAGCGAACUCUGAAACUCAGGUGCACCUACACCAACCCACCAACCAGAACUAUCUCACCUAAUACAGAGUUUUGCUAUUGUUGACCAGUCUGGAGUACAGUGGCACAACCUCGACUGACUGCAACCUCAGCCUUCUGGUUUCAAGCAAUUCUCCUGCUUCAGCCUCCCAAGUAGCUGGGAUUACAGGCACCCACUGACAUGCCAGAAAAUUAAAGCAACAGAAGAAUCUUCCGGUUUUCCAUCAUGACAAAUACCUGUCUCCAAGCAUCUGGAGCCACACACUCCUGCCCAUACUCGUGUCUAGAAGCCCAGGAGAGCUGGCUUGAGCAAUGGCUUUCUCUAUCAUUCGAAGGAUUCCAGAGCAGUUUCAUGCUGUUGAGUAUCAAAUCUAAGAUUUAUAAUUUUUGUUUGUUUUCUUGUUUUCUCAAUGGUAUGCUGGCAAAUGUUGAAUUAUGGGAUAUGAAAAAAUGUAUACGUAUAAGUAUGUAACUACAGUCAUUGGGAUUUUCACUUACACAAUAAUGUAUAGCACAGAAUUAAGAGAUAAUAAAAUAUACUUCAUAUAUAUAUAUAUGCUCUUCAGUGUAAAAUGUGAUGCUUUGAUAUACAUAUACAUUGGUAGCAAUUGCAACAAUAAUGCUAAUUAACAUUUGUCACCUCAUAUAGUUACCUUUUUUAAAAUAAUGAGAACUCUUAAGAUCUACUCUCAGAAAAUUUCAAGUAUACAAUACAUUAUGUAUAGUCACUAUCCUGUACAUUAUAUCUCUAGAACUUACUCAUCCUAUAACAGCAAGUUGUACCCCUUGACCUAAAUUAUCGUAUUUUCACCACCCUUCAGCCCUAGGAGAAAAUAUUUGCAACACAUAUAUCUGAGAGGGGACUAAUAUCUAAAAUAUAGUAAGAACUCCCCCAAUGCAAUAGCAAAAACACAAAUAACUAGAUUAGAAAGUAGGUAAAGGACCUAAAUAGGCACAGUUUUCUAAAGAAAAUAUACAAAUAAUCAAUAGGUAUAUGGAGGUUUCUCAAAAAACUACAAACAAACUACUGUAUAAUCGAACAAUAUCACUUCUGGGUACAUAAUCAAAUAAUUGAAAUCAGUAUUUCAAAGAGAUAUGUGCGCAUCUGCAGCAUCAUUUACCAUGGCCAAGAUACAGACAAAUUUACUCUUUAUUGUGAAUUCAAUAUAGCCAACUGAUACUUACAGAAUGCUUUCACUGAUUUUUUUUGCCAACCUCUCUAAACAUAGAAAAUAUAUAAUUGAAAAUUGAUUUACAAAUGUAUUUCUGAAAUGAAUAAUAGUUAACAUUUGGUUUACAUUAAUAUGUAAGAGAAAAACCAAUGAUAAUAUAUGUUGGAACUUGUUCUUCAAUGACUUGAGUCACUUAUUUGCUGAAUAAGAGAAUGAUUUAUGAAUAUUCAAAUAUUUCCUCAAUUUAUUGUGCCAUUUACAAUUUAAUGUCUAUACACAUGGCACAUUUUACAUGUAAUCUGCAUUAAGACUUCAUCACUUUCUUAAGCAUGUACAUUCAAAAAAUAAAAUAAACAAAAUCAUGAUUUGUAGCAUUUGCUAUUGACAUUAUAAAAUUCUCUUACUGUAACCAAUUUCAAGAUAGCAAUGUGAUAUCACUCAACAUGUAUUUGCACCUUACACAUAGAAUAGACUGGAUAUUUAAGGGAUCAUUAAAAAAAUCUUUAAGAAACAACUUGACUGUUUCAGAUACCUUUCUCAUACAAUCAGCAAGAUUCAAACUUUUACUUUAGUCUACUAAUAAAAAUUCUAAUUAGCUUAUUUCCCCUGCAUUUUUCAAUCUUUAACAUACCACUUACUGCGUUUUGCUAAAGGUGGUAAUCCUAUCCAGCUGGUCUCUGUGGUUUUUCUAGAAUGGCAUAAUAAGCAUGCUUUGAUAUUCAGGGUGUGUAGGUUGUUUAGAACCAUAAUUGUUUUAAUGGGCUGCUCUCUUCAAAAACACAGUUGGUUACUAAACACAGCAAACUAAAGAGUUAGGCUAAUAAAAAUUAGUGAAUUUAUAGACUGACAAUAAAUAGAACUUUGUUUAAUAUGAAUAGUCACUUGCAUUCAUUUUAAAUUCUGUGGUAUACUAAGUAACAUUUACUAUCCUACAUAUCAUCCUUCAGUAAUGCUUUGGAAUACUGUCUGACAAUAGUAAGCCGCCAGAAUAAUGCAACAAUAAAAUGCCCUUUUGUUUAAUGAUUCCACUUUGGCAGAGGUUUGUUUUUAUACAAAAUGACUCCUGUUUAAAGCAGUCAAUAAAGAAGGCAUUUCUACUUAUGACAGAAAUGAGCUGGCUCGUGCCCGGAUGGUCUUUGCCUUAUACUACAUGGAUUUCGAUAAUCAUCACUUUUGCAGAAAAUCCAACACUGGCUGAGCAUACAUAGGCAAAAUAAAGUACAUAUUAAAGCAAUUAUCUAGGAAUUUUUAGAAAAAUUAAUUUGUAAAUAAAAAAAUCACUUUUGGGAUGAAUUAUGAGGAGUCAAUUUUAUUUUAUUUUAUUUUAUUUUAUUUUAUUUUAUUUUAUUUUAUGGGUUUUCUUAAACUGGGUAUAUUCACUUGUCUCUAUGAAUACAAAUAAAAUGUAAACUUGGGAGCUUUUAGGGUGAGAUGGGAUAAGAAAGCAAAGUAUUUAAAAGUACAAAAAUCUGAGAUGGGGAAUUAAUAUUUUAAAAAUCCAAAGCUUGGCAUUUUCUUUGAUAGAGUUGUUCCUCUAUUCCUUCACAAAUCUUUAGCUUGGGUGUGUAAGAGGCAACUUGUCAGGUUUGGAGGAGAUUUAACGAUGAUCUAUAACUAAGUUUAAUGUGUUUGGAUUUAUUUAAGAUGAAUCUACUUUCCCAAGGAUACUUUUCCUAAAAUCUAAGUCCAGAUAUAUUUCAAGAGGAAAAUUCUUGUAUGUGUUUCUAUUUCUUCUAUAAACAUUCUAUUAAAAUUAAAAUAUUCCACUGCAAAGGCCAGUAGAUAGCCAAAAAGCAUAUAAACUCCUUUUCCAUAAAAAAAGUAUUGGGGGCCAAGUAUAAGCAAAUAUGAUUCCAGAAUAUUAUGACAGUUACAGGAAGAAAAGCUUCAUGCAAUCUGCUUACAUUUCUUCCUAUACAUUUGCCAUUGCUCUUUCCAGCUGUUUUUCAUAUUCUCUGUAUUAUUAUUUAAACAUCCCUACUCAAACUCUUUUUUUAAAAAGCAGCUGCGGAUUUUCAAUCUUUUCUAAAAUAAUCUGCAAUGUAUCUAACCUGGUUAGAAGCAGAAAGCUAUGGGAAAGAUAAAACUACAAUCACAUGGCCCUCACAACUUGUUGUAUAUUUAGGUUACAACUUCAGAAAGAGACUUAGAGACAACCAAAGUUUAAAAAUAUGGGCAUUUAUCAAAUGUCUGAAUUGAAAGCACUUGAGAAAUAUUUUUGCCAAUUAGUGCUAUGCCCAAAAGUUUACUUCAAUAAUUCAGGUAAGAUGUUUUCUGAAAAGACAUAUGCUUUCCCUUACUGAAUCUGAAUUUGUUUAUUUAGCAAUCUAAUAACAUUAAAGAAAUUUGACUCUUAUUCUCUUUACCAUUCUUCAAUCAGUACAGAUUUGAGGUUCUAAACCUUUCUGUUCACUACCACACUGUACAAUCCAAAUUCCAAUAUUUAAUCAGUUAUUUGUCAUGUAGUUUCUUUGAUGUAUAUUGUCGAAAUACUGGACAUAGAAGAAUUAUGGUUAUGAAGCUAUCUAGAAACACAGAAGUCAGGAUGAUAUCUCUGUGUCCUACAGAUCCUAGCCAUGAAAGGGAAGAAUGAAUUAAUGGAAUUUUCCAAGGCCAGUCAGCCUGAUUUAACCAGAAGCAGCACAGAUGAAUGAACUAGGUGGUGAUCUAUCGGUGAACUGCACUGACCAUUCAGUUUUUCCAUGGUCCAUUACGUUAGUUACAGACCUGUGUGUAUGAUGCAAAAUGAAAUGGACAGUUGAGGCAAUUAUCUGCACAAUUCUGGUGAAAAGAAAGCUUGUUACUAAGGAAAAAGUAAGUUGGUGGGGGUACCUUAAUUAUCCAUAUUGAAUUUCCAUAUUGAUCACAUACACAAGACAAUUGCUUGACUCAACACUUCAUUUUGCUUGAGCAGGCACGGGCUAAGAUAAUUGAAAGCAAUUAAACAGCAUUGUCUAGGGAACCAUAAGUGACAACUUAGGUCAGUAUUGUGGGGGCAGGGUAACUUCAUCAAUUAGUAUUUUUCGAACACCUAC